GGAGACAGGUGCUGCAUGGCUGUCGUCAGCUCGUGUCGUGAGAUGUUGGGUUAAGUCCCGCAACGAGCGCAACCCUUGCCUUUAGUUGCCAGCAGUUCGGCUGGGCACUCUAAAGGGACUGCCGGUGUUAAACCGGAGGAAGUGGGGAUGACGUCAAGUCCUCAUGGCCUUUAUGACCAGGGCUACACACGUACUACAAUGGCCGAUACAAAGGGCAGCGACACUGCAAGGUGAAGCCAAUCCCGUAAAAUCGGUCUCAGUCCGGAUUGGAGUCUGCAACUCGACUCCAUGAAGUUGGAAUCGCUAGUAAUCGUGGAUCAGCAUGCCACGGUGAAUACGUUCCCGGGCCUU
rnacentral:rRNA from 1 species